GUCAUAAUGUGCUGCAAAUCUGCGGUUCACAUCAUUGGAUCCAAGUUCUAAAAACUCUCCUCUGGGUGGUUUCAAAGACGAGGAAACGGUUGCAGCCAUGACACAGUUUUCUGAACUUCAUGAUGCUUCGUCUAAACCAUGGACUCAGCUCAGUUCCUUCACAGCUUUGGUUUUCCUUCUUCUGACACAAAACUGUUCAGCUCUUCCCCAGGUGGUCGGUCCGUCUCAGCCGGUCCUGGCAACGGUUGGUUCUGACGUUCUUUUGUCGUGUCGGCUGGAACCUGCCGUCGAUGCUUCAGACAUGUCCAUAGAGUGGUCCAGAGAAGACCUAGACCCUUCAUAUGUCUAUGUGUGGUGGGAUAAAGAGGAACUAGAAAGUUCUAAACAUCCUGAUUAUAAAGGAAG